rnacentral:misc_RNA from 1 species
AAUUCUUCUGAUGAGUAAAGCUCUCUAUCAGCUGAGAUCUUCUGCACCAUCUACUUGUGGCGGUGGAACUGUUUGUUAUGUCAAUGGCUUCAAUGAAAAGGACACAUUAUAUUUGGAAGAGAUAGAGGAAAGAGAAAAUGGUGGGACUCCUCAAAUAAUCCAAACAAUCAGAGCAGCAUUGGCUAUCUGGGUUAAAGAAUACAUUGGCU